rnacentral:lncRNA from 1 species
GGGCUUCUAUGCUAUUGAUUUGUGUGGGUUGAUGGGAAGAAUUAUUAUUCUAUGGAAAAAAGUGGCAGCUAAUGUGCAUGUUUUGUAUAAUUGUAACCGAAAUGUAAUAGUAAUUAUUUGUGACAUCAAUGAAUCUCUUUGUAUCUUAUUUGGUGUUUGCGCUAGCAUUGAGUAUAGACAAAAGAGAGUAUUGUGGGAUGUGAUCUCC